rnacentral:rRNA from 1 species
UUGACAUGCAGAGAACGUUUCCAGAGAUGGAUUGGUGGCCUUCGGGAACUCUGACACAGGUGCUGCAUGGCUGUCGUCAGGCUCGUGUCGUGAGAUGUUGGGUUAAGUCCCGUAACGAGCGCAACCCUUGUCCUUAGUUACAGCACGUUAUGGUGGGCACUCUAAGGAGACUGCCGGUGACAAACCGGGGGAAGGUGGGGAUGACGUCAAGUCAUCAUGGCCCUUACGGCCUGGGCCACACACGUGCUACAAUGGUCGGUACAAAGGGUUGCCAAGCCGCGAGGUGGAGCUAAUCCCAUAAAACCGAUCGUAGUCCGGAUCGCAGUCUGCAACUCGACUGCGUGAAGUCGGAAUCGCUAGUAAUCGUGAAUCAGAAUGUCACGGUGAAUACGUUCCCGGGCCUU